rnacentral:rRNA from 1 species
AGUGAACGCUGGCGGCGUGCCUAAUACAUGCAAGUCGAACGAAGUGGCGCAAGGGUGAGUAAUAUAUAGUUCAUCUGCCCUACACAGAGGAACAACAGUUGGAAACAAGUGCUAAUAUCUCCAAGUGUAGGAUGAGAGUAUAUCGUGUCAGCUAGUUGGUAAGGUAAUGGCUUACCAAGGCUAUGACGCGUAACUGGACUGAGAGGAUGAUCAGACACAUUGUAGCUUAGACACGGGCCAAACUCCUAGGGGAGGCACCAAGUAGGAAGAAGGCGCAAUGAGCGACACCCCGACGCAGCAACGCCGCGUGGGGUAUGACACUUCUCUGAGCGUAAACUAAUUCUAACAUGUAAGCGGUACCUGAUGAAUAAGCGCCGGCUAACUACGUGCCAGCAGCCGCGGUAAUUC